rnacentral:rRNA from 1 species
GAUGAACGCUGGCGGCGUGCCUAAUACAUGCAAGUCGAGCGAACAGACGAGGAGCUUGCUCCUCUGACGUUAGCGGCGGACGGGUGAGUAACACGUGGAUAACCUACCUAUAAGACUGGGAUAACUUCGGGAAACCGGAGCUAAUACCGGAUAAUAUAUUGAACCGCAUGGUUCAAUAGUUAAAGACGGUUUUGCUUUCACUUAUAGAUUGAUCCGCGCCGCAUUAGCUAGUUGGUAAGGUAACGGCUUACCAAGGCAACGAUGCGUAGCCGACCUGAGAGGGUGAUCGGACACACUGGAACUGAGACACGGUCCAGACUCCUACGGGAGGAAGCAGUAGGGAAUCUUCCGCAAAGGGCGAAAGCCUGACGGAGCAACGCCGCGUGAGUGAUGAAGGUCUUCGGAUCGUAAAACUCUGUUAUUAGGGAAGAACAAAUGUGUAAGUAACUAUGCACGUCUUGACGGUACCUAAUCAGAAAGCCACGGCUAACUACGUG